rnacentral:rRNA from 1 species
AUUGAACGCUGGCGGCAGACCUAACACAUGCAAGUCGAGCGGAUGAAGGGAGCUUGCUCCUGGAUUCAGCGGCGGACGGGUGAGUAAUGCCUAGGAAUCUGCCUGGUAGUGGGGGAUAACGUCCGGAAACGGGCGCUAAUACCGCAUACGUCCUGAGGGAGAAAGUGGGGGAUCUUCGGACCUCACGCUAUCAGAUGAGCCUAGGUCGGAUUAGCUAGUUGGUGGGGUAAAGGCCUACCAAGGCGACGAUCCGUAACUGGUCUGAGAGGAUGAUCAGUCACACUGGAACUGAGACACGGUCCAGACUCCUACGGGAGGCAGCAGUGGGGAAUAUUGGACAAUGGGCGAAAGCCUGAUCCAGCCAUGCCGCGUGUGUGAAGAAGGUCUUCGGAUUGUAAAGCACUUUAAGUUGGGAGGAAGGGAAGUAAGUUAAUACCUUGCUGUUUUGACGUUACCAACAGAAUAAGCACCGGCUAACUUCGUG